rnacentral:lncRNA from 1 species
UCAAUUGCGCUAACUUCUGUUUAUAAUGCGGUAUUAAUUACUAGGGGAGGCUAGGGAUAGCAAACCCGUAAUUGAUAUUAGGCCCUUUUCGCUAAGGGAUCGGGUUACGGGGAGGCUAAGAAAGUCGCAUAACAAUUGAAUCAAUCUAAUAAUCAAGGGUAGUAUGUAAGAGAGAAUGAAAUAGAUGAAAUUGUUAGUACCCAACAACAUCCAUUCAUCCAUUGUUUUUACUUGUCAAUUGAAUCAACCUUUAUUUUGCAUGUUAAUAUUUUUGCUCUCAAACCCAAUUUAGAACUUUUAAUUUCUCAAGUCUUAUUAUUUUAAUUCACGUGACCAAGGAAGCCAUGCGAGUCUCUUGGGAAAACGAUACUUGGUCUUACCAUUUUUAUUACUUGUACGAUUUGGUACACUUGCCAAUUUGUCAACAGCUGCAAUGCACUCUUUAAAUCCCCAAAUCACGACUAGUGUCAAAAUAUAGGUACAACAAAUGUUUCAAUUUAGUUGCUUUUCAAGCAAGCUAUAUUUGGUUGUGAGAUUGGACUAAGUUGGUGCUUGGUGCAAAGAUUUGCAAAUUUUUUAUAGUUUUGGUUUUGUAGACUUAGGGCUACAAUGCACUCAUUAAAUCCGCAAAGGAUGACUAGUGUCAAAAUAUAGGUGCAAGAAAUGUUUCAAUUGAGUUGCUUUUUAAGCAAGCUAUGUUUGGUGGUGAGAUUGCACUAAGUUGGUGAUUAGUGGCAAGAUUUGAAAAAUUUUCAAAGUCUGGGUUUUUUAGACUUAGGUGCAGCAAUGCAUUCUUUAAAUCCCCAAAUGAAGACUAGUGUCAAAAUAUAGGUGCAAGAAAUGUUUGAAUUUAGUAGCUUUUCAAGCAAGCUACGUUUGGUGGUGAGACUGGACUAAGUUGGUCCUUGGUGCCAAGAUUUGGAAACUUUUGAAAGUCUUAGUUUUUUAGACUUAGGAGGUGCAAAGCACUCUUUAAAUACCCAAAUGAUGACUAGUGUGAAAAUACAGGUGCAAGAAAUGUUUCAACUUCGUUACUUUUCAAGCAAGCUAUGUUUGGUGGUGAGACUGGACUAAUUUGGUGUUUGGUGCCAAGAUUUGGAAACUUUUGAAAAUCUUGGUUUUUUAGACUUAGG